ensembl:lncRNA
UUUAAAGUUAUCUUAUUUAUCUAAGUGAAAUGUAGAUUCAUACCACCAAUUGUGUUCUCUAUUAUUUUCAGAAAUCUGUGAAGAAAUUUGAAAUGCCUGGUAUUUGAGAGAGUACAAAAUUAAUUUUCAUCCCAAAAAAUCUGAAUGAUCCUUGGCAGAGGGGACCCUUAGUUGAAUGGGGAGGCUUGCUUCUGAUUUCUGGAGCUCAUUUGUGCUGGCAAACUCUGUGCUAGACUGUAUUCUGCUCUCAUGGAGAUCAGCCUAGAGAGAGUCCUUCUUCACAGGAAGCCCAAGUGUAAGCCGUUUAAACAAGCGUGCAGGAAAUAUUGGGGUAAUUACCAAGCACACGAGGGGGUCUCCAGCAUUGAGAAUGGAUUCAAAAAAUUCAUUCAGCAGAUUAAUUGAUCUUCUCCCUGAAGCUUGUCUCUGGAAACAAUUCCUAUGGAAAUUCACAGCUGAAAGUUGGGCAAGUGUAUUAUGAAAAGAUAUUUUCAUUACAGCUGUGUAUAUUUACAUAAUGUUUGAAGCCCCUUUACUUCUGCCAGAGAAGUACUGACUUCUCUUUUGAUCAUCCAAGCUUUACAACCUUGCUUUCUAAUAAAAUAGUAUUAAGUCCAUAAAGAAAAG